CCGCAUCGCACUCCCCGCGCUCCGCCUCUCAUUGUCCUGUCCUGUCCCCUCUUCUACGUCUCCUCUGCCCAUCCUCCCAUUUUCACAAGUCUGUCCGGGACCCUGUCUCCUUCGGCCUCCACCCCUGCUGCCAUCGCUCCUCCCUCUCCCCUUCUUCCUUUUCCCCUCCCUCAGCCUACUGCGCCGCCUACCCCGCCCCCAGCCUUGCUGCCCUUUGGCUUCUCCUGUCCCGCAUCAUUACCCCGGCCCACAGCCCCAUUUGCCUGCAGUCGCUGCCUUUGCUCCUGAGAAGUUGCUGACAGGUGGAACCUGAGGCAGCAGGACAGCCUGGCAUUGGCCACGGGACAUCGGCCACAACCAUAGCAACUUCGGCAUCAAAUGGGGCAGGAGAGAGAACAUUAAGGUAUCGUUCAAAGAAUACUAGAGGUCUUGGAUACUUCUGUAUGCCUGUUCUUUAUCUUGUCCUAAAAGAUCUUCCGAGGGUCCCUUUAGGGCAAAACCAGAACCUUCUGUGUUGUUAUAAAGGCAGGGUGGGUGUGCCAUUCUGGGCAUUUAAAGUGCAGACUCUAGACUUGUAUGCAUGCGUAGCCUCCUAGGUUAACAUUUAAAAUAGGCUCUGGGAAACCUAGUUUGGUGAUAGGGAGACUGGGGACACUGAUGGUGACCUGGUCCUAGGAUGGGAUGAAGGUAGCGAGGAUGGGAAGCUAGAGGAGGCUAACCUUUGGGGUGUCUUGAUGGCUUCUGAAAAGGGCCUCUCUGGCCCCCAGUACUAAUACUUGUUAUACCAUGAACUUAAGCUGCUCUUGAUGGGAGGGGAAAGAGAAGAUUAUUGUUAACAAACACUAUUGCAGACAGUGCACAUGCUGUCACAUUUGGUCUUCACAACAACCCUGCAGGGUGGGGAUUUAUUUCUGUUUUGCAGAUUGAAGAAACUGAGGCUCAAAGAAGUUAGGGGUCCACCUGUGAGUACAUGCACAGGAAGGGGAAGAGCCCCCAUUGGAAGCAGAGCCCUGCCCCUUCCUCCUCACCCCUGGCUCCCUGGGAGGCCCCUCCUCUGGCCCAGUCCACAGCACUGUGACAGGCAGUGUGGAAGCCUCUUUCCCCCAGUACUCCCCUCAGAGCCCUUCCUUCCUUCUGAGCUGGGAAGGCCAGGUUGUAGUUAGCCAGGCCAAUCCAUUGGGGUUCUGAAUUAGCCACUUUCAGCUGUGUGUUCUUUGACAUUUCUGAGCUGCUCCAGGCCUCAGUUUUGUCACCUGCCACUUGUGGAGGGGGAAUGGGGAAGGGAACCAAUAGAUACAUAGCCCACACGGGGGUCUCUGGGUGAUGACUAGCCCUGGGUGCUGGGCAGCCCUCUGGUGAGACAGGCACAGUGGGAUGCUCAUUGCUCAUGGCUUCUCAGUGGGUCUUGGUGGGGGUCUGAGGACCUCAUUCCACCUGUCUCCUCAGGGGCCAGAGGCUGCUGGCCUGGCUGUUUAUGGCCCCCCUCCCUGGGAGGGUGGUGGGGUUUGGCCAGAGGCUGUGUGGAUGUCCAGAUGGGGCCUCCCUGGGGUCUUGGACCUGCAACUGAGUGGUUGUCUCCCUGCCAGGGGCUGGCAGUGACCACAGCUGUCCCAGUCAGGAGGAACACCUCCUGCCCUCCUCAUUCUUGCAGCCUCAGGAGCUGCUAAGAAGCAUGUUGGGCAGGUGGAGAUCCACUCAGUGACUUGUUCCAUGGCAUGUCAUGAGCACGAUUGGCAGGGCCAGGCCAGAUCAGUAAAAAGGGUGAGAGCU
rnacentral:lncRNA from 10 species